rnacentral:rRNA from 1 species
AUGGGAGCUUGCUCCCUGAUGUUAGCGGCGGACGGGUGAGUAACACGUGGGUAACCUGCCUGUAAGACUGGGAUAACUCCGGGAAACCGGGGCUAAUACCGGAUGCUUGUUUGAACCGCAUGGUUCAAACAUAAAAGGUGGCUUCGGCUACCACUUACAGAUGGACCCGCGGCGCAUUAUCUAGUUGGUGAGGUAAUGGCUCACCAAGGCGACGAUGCGUAUCCGACCUGAGAGGGUGAUCGGCCACACUGGGACUGAGACACGGCCCAGACUCCUACGGGAGGCAGCAGUAGGGAAUCUUCCGCAAUGGACGAAAGUCUGACGGAGCAACGCCGCGUGAGUGAUGAAGGUUUUCGGAUCGUAAAGCUCUGUUGUUAGGGAAGAACAAGUACCGUUCGAAUAGGGCGGUACCUUGACGGUACCUAACCAGAAAGCCACGGCUAACUACGUGCCACCAGCCGCGGUAAUACGUAUGUGGCAAGCGUUGUCCGGAAUUAUUGGGCGUAAAGGGCUCGCAGGCGGUUUCUUAAGUCUGAUGUGAAAGCCCCCGGCUCAACCGGGGAGGGUCAUUGUAAACUGGGGAACUUGAGUGCACAAAAGGAGAGUGGAAUUCCACGUGUAUCGGUGAAAUGCGUAUAGAUGUGGAGGAACACCAGUGGCGAAAGCGACUCUCUGGUCUGUAACUGACACUGAGGAGCGAAAGCGUGUGGAGCGAACAGGAUUAUAUACCCUGG